rnacentral:rRNA from 1 species
GACGAACGCUGGCGGCGUGCUUAACACAUGCAAGUCGAACGGAAAGGCCCUGCUUUUGUGGGGUGCUCGAGUGGCGAACGGGUGAGUAACAUGUGAGUAACCUGCCCUUGACUUUGGGAUAUCAUCAGGAAACUGGGGCUAAUACCGGAUAGGAGCUCCUGCUGCAUGGUGCGGGUUGGAAAGUUUCGGCUGUUGGGGAUGGACUCGCGGCUUGUCAGCUUGUUGGUGGGGUAGUGGCUUAACAAGGCUUUGACGGGUAGCCGGCCUGAGAGGGUGACCGGCCACAUUGGGACUGAGAUACGGCGCAGACUCCUACGGGAGGCAGCAGUGGGGAAUAUUGCACAAUGGGCGGAAGCCUGAUGCAGCAACGCCGCGUGCGGGAUGACGGCCUUCGGGUUGUAAACCGCUUUCGCCUGUGACGAAGCGUGAGUGACGGUAAUGGGUAAAGAAGCACCGGCUAACUACGUG